rnacentral:tmRNA from 1 species
GGGGCUGACUGGAUUUGACAGCAAGGACAGUGGGACUGUAAGCAUGCCGGGCAUUGAGAAUAAGGCUCGUUAAAAACUGUUCUCACAUAAAUAAUUGGCGAAACUAAUUACGCUCUCGCUGCCUAAAAUCGAAGUAUAGUAGAUUAAGGCUUUAACCUGACACUAGGUGUCGGGACGAGACAUCCCGCAGGCGGACAUGCCUGAUUCCAAACUGACUAACGGGGUGCAGUAUAAUUUCGGGCUGGCUGAAUGAUGGCUCCGAUCAUCCGGCGAGAUUAAGGAGAUAAGGUUUUGUUUUCGGGUGUCUUUUCCCGGGCAAAACUCGAAAAUCAAUAAAAGGCUAAGCAUGUAGAAAGCGCUCUUGCUGCUUGUUUGGACGAGGGUUCGACUCCCUCCAGCUCCAUUU